rnacentral:rRNA from 1 species
AGAGUUUGAUCCUGGCUCAGGAUGAACGCUAGCGGCAGGCCUAACACAUGCAAGUCGAGGGAGAAGCCUUCGGGCUGAAACCGGCGCACGGGUGCGUAACGCGUAUACAAUCUGCCUUUCACAUAGGGAUAGCCCGAAGAAAUUUGGAUUAAUACCUAAUGGUAUAUAGGAGCGGCAUCGUUUUUAUAUUAAAGCUACGGUGGUGAAAGAUGAGUAUGCGUUCUAUUAGCUAGUUGGAGAGGUAACGGCUCCCCAAGGCGACGAUAGAUAGGGGUUCUGAGAGGGAUGUCCCCCACACUGGUACUGAGAUACGGACCAGACUCCUACGGGAGGCAGCAGUGAGGAAUAUUGGACAAUGGUCGGAAGACUGAUCCAGCCAUGCCGCGUGCAGGAUGAAGGUCCUAUGGAUUGUAAACUGCUUUUGUAAGGGAAGAAUAAGGAGUACGUGUACUUUGAUGACGGUACCUUACGAAUAAGCAUCGGCUAACUCCGUGCCAGCAGCCGCGGUAAUACGGAGGAUGCGAGCGUUAUCCGGAAUCAUUGGGUUUAAAGGGUCCGUAGGCGGGCUGAUAAGUCAGAGGUGAAAGCGCUUAGCUCAACUAAGCAACUGCCUUUGAAACUGUUAGUCUUGAAUGAUUGUGAAGUAGUUGGAAUGUGUAGUGUAGCGGUGAAAUGCUUAGAUAUUACACAGAACACCGAUAGCGAAGGCAUAUUACUAACAAUUUAUUGACGCUGAUGGACGAAAGCGUGGGGAGCGAACAGGAUUAGAUACCCUGGUAGUCCACGCU